GGCGAACGGGUGAGUAACACGUGGAUAACCUGCCCUCGGCACCGGAAUAGCCCGGGGAAACCCGGAUUAAUGCCGGAUAGCCCCACAUCCCCUCGGGGUACGUGGGAAAAGGUAGCUUCGGCCUCUGGCCGAGGAUGGGUCCGCGGUGGAUUAGCUUGUUGGUGGGGUAACGGCUCACCAAGGCGACGAUCUAUAGCUGGUCUGAGAGGACGAUCAGCCACACUGGGACUGAGACACGGCCCAGACUCCUACGGGAGGCAGCAGUAGGGAAUCUUGCGCAAUGGGCGAAAGCCUGACGCAGCGACGCCGCGUGCGGGAAGAAGGCCUUCGGGUUGUAAACCGCUUUCAGGAGGGACGAAGCCACUCGGGUUAAUAGCCCAGAGGGUGACGGUACCUCCAGAAGAAGCCCCGGCUAACUACGUGCCAGCAGCCGCGGUAAUACGUAGGGGGCAAGCGUUGUCCGGAUUUAUUGGGCGUAAAGAGCGUGUAGGCGGCCAGGUAGGUCGGUUGUGAAAACUGGAGGCUCAACCUUCAGACGUCGACCGAAACCAUCUGGCUAGAGUCCGGGAGAGGAGAGUGGAAUUCCUGGUGUAGCGGUGAAAUGCGCAGAUAUCAGGAAGAACACCCGUGGCGAAAGCGGCUCUCUGGAACGGUACUGACGCUGAGACGCGAAAGCGUGGGGAGCGAACAGGAUUAGAUACCCUGGUAGUCC
rnacentral:rRNA from 1 species